CUGGAGAAGACGGGGUAAAAAAGAGUAUUAUAAAUGCAACUACUCAGAGCUGAUCAGAAUUUAAGCAUGAAAGCAAAGCAAUAAGAGGCAAAUAGAUAAUUACAGCGAGACAGAAAUGAAGAGACUUACAGGAAUCCCGUGUCUGUGUACUGAGAUAGUAUUACUUUGAAGGUCCAGUGAGUAUUUUCUGAUAAUCGUUAAUCCAUAAGUAGCUUUGGCUAUAAUAAAAUGUAUCUGAUACUGUUGUAAAUACUUUACCUGUAUUGUGAGAGUAAUUAAUUAUUGUGCUAGUUAUAAGAUAUCAAAGAAAAAAGCUGUGAAGAUUGCUGUCAUUGCAGGAAGAGGAGGACAAAAGGUGUGAAGAAGAAGGCGCUGAAUUUGGUGUAAGAGCUAAGAGACAGCACCUACUCUGGAGAGCUCCUAUAUCUGCAAUGCAAAGAAAGAUAUGAAGAACCGUAAGGAAUCAAAGCCAUACUGUACGGUGUUCAUUGCUCAUGAYUGAAGAUGACUCCAACAGUAUGUUACACUGAGCCAACAGCUUCAAGCAUCACCCUAACAUCAGUGAUGAGUCCGAGGUACCUUUUGGCAUCACAGAGCUAUAGAGGUGCGUGCUCCAUCUCCGUGACACAUGAGAGAGUGAUACCACAUCACACAGACUUGCCUCACACCCCAAAAUUGCUAGGAGAGUUUUGGCACACGGAAGUUAUUUGCGGAUAGCCUACCUAGUCCUGUGGCCAAAUGCCGAGACACGAGCAAAAGCUUGGAAAGGGUAAGUCUGACCUAUGUAAAUCCUGCUCCAAGACAGCUGACUGUCUCUGUUUGGUCCAGCAGGUCCAGGUGUGGUCCUGGACAGCUUGGGAUGGUGUUUGUGACUCCACGCAUCAUGCAUUUUAGAUUAUUUAAUUUAACAUUGCUUCGGAAACCCUUUUAAAAGCAGUGGACCUCUAGCCUUCARUUCGUUCCAGAUAACGUUUUUGAUUUCUGUUCUUUUUUUUCCCAGCUCUUCUUGUCCUCAAGGUUGCAGGCAACUUGCUUUGUGAGUAAAAAGAUCUGUUAUUUCCUAAAUGAGAACCUACCCCUCUGCAUUAUGUAGGAGUAAUGUAGGAUGUAAGAAGUGGUGACCCUUUAUAAUGGAUUUUUUUCCAUUUGCUUCACUGAGUCUUCAAGGACUGCAUUUUGAUUCUUCCUUCGUGUUUUUACCUCAGAGGUUGGCAUGUUAGGGUUAUGAAACUAGAAAAGCUCUAGUCAGAUCAAAAGAGGUGGCAAAUAAGUGCAUUAAGUGCAUAAAAUCUUCCCCUUCAACAAAUAUGUUUUAUAUGAGCACAGCAUCAGUGCAUUACACC
rnacentral:lncRNA from 1 species